UCGUAUAAAUGAUCAGUUUUAUUCGGAAGAGAACUAUUUACAAAAGAAGUAGAGCAUUGUUUUUACUAAAAAUAUGCCUUUAUAGAUUUUUAUAAUAUGUAUCUUAUAAAAACCAUACAUGUAUUUACAUUACUGCUACAUACAAAAAUUACAGCACUGUGGUUUAUGUACAUAUCUAUAGAUACAUUCUUUCUGCUUGUCCCUGCUGUGUGCUUCUUCCCUCUCAAUCGAAGGGAAUCGUUGCUGCAGCACCCAGACACUUCCUUUCUUGGCUUUUUGGUUAAAACAAUCUUGCUUUUUAUAGUCGAGUGGGGAGUAGAGAGUUUGCCUGGUGUAAAAGGCAUAGCUGGAAUUCACCAUUCUAAGUAGGACGAGUGCUUACAGCUAUCAAGUCCUUGUGUAUGCAGCACUGCCUGUAACCUCCCUUCUUGCUUCUCUGUGCAAAAUUACUCUGUUGUCAUUAAUUGAUCUGUUUUCAUCUCAAGGGCAAGUUGCUGAUCUAAGUUUGUAUUAAGAUAAAGUGCUAGUGACUUGCCUUUCAUCUACACUUACUUGUUUCUUGUGUACAGUUGCUUCCCUUGCAGAGUUUACUAAAGGAAGAUGGAUCCCUUUUCCCUUGGGCCACUGUCAUAAACAUUUGCCCAAACAGUCAACCUGUUACUUCACAGUGGGAAAGCUCUUUGUAACCUUAAUCUCAGCAGCAUCUCUGUGCAGUAUUUGAACAGUGACUGUGCAGCACUACUGUUUUAUUAACAAUUAUCUCAAAAGCAAGGCUGAGGGUUGUAUUUAGAGCUGCUGAUCCCACUCCUUAAUCUACUUUGGGAUCCUGAGUACCUGCUGGAUUGAUGUGCUUCCUCCAUCUCAUUCAGUGGGGCUGAUGUUUCCUUUAUGCCACAUGUGUCCUGGAAGUAUCAAGUAUCACAAGUGGCAUGUCUUCUAACCCAACACUUGCAAGGAUGAUUCCGUGCUCCUGGCUGUGACAGGAUGUAGAUGAAUGUUUCAGUGACAGCUCAAAGUGAAAGUCAGGACCUUGUUAAAACACAACAUGACAAAUGAGAAUGUGAAGGACUGCACUGAUGAAGUUUUUGAAGACAGAACAACAAAACCUAGCUGCUAUGUUAAGGCAGUUUCUGUUCCUGUUGAGUAGCAGCUCAGCACAAGGAGGUCUCCUUUGGUGUGUUGUCCAGUUCAUUAAACCCAAUUCUCUUGUAUUUCUGGGUUUAGUAGUGCAACUAAGUCUUCAGGGUUAAGUGGCUAGUUUUAAGAAACCAUACUCAACUGGCACCUUAGAACAUGCUGACUUUCCUCUUACAAUCUCUUCCAUCACUGUUACUAAAUAAAUAAAACCGCAGUGGGAUUAAGGUAGGUUCCUCCUUAAAUGAAGAGAUACGCUGUGCAUUUCAAUUGCCUACCUCUGCAACUGAAUGAGUCACUUUCAGCAAACAUGUAGCAGAAGGCACCUUUCUUCAUCUCAUUACUGCAUCUUCAUGGGAUAACAUAAGGCCUUUGCCUUAGGAUUGCAUACAUACAUAGGACAUCCUCAUGGGGUAGAGUCCCAUACGGCUGCUGGGCGUGUGGCCUGAAGAGAGCUGCUGGGCCUGGGAAAUGACAACUGACAGCAGAAAGAAAAUGGUCUCCCACAAUAAGCAGAGCAUCAAGCAGUGUAUAAGACAACUGUUCACAGGCAUCGCUGGCAUCCAGGAACCCACGCCUGACUUUGCAGGUAUCAAAGCUUAUGUUAAUGCACAUGGGCAUAGAGAGUCCUGACAGCAGCAGAUGCUGAGCGUGUGCCUCCUGUCUCUGCCUUACCA
rnacentral:lncRNA from 1 species